rnacentral:misc_RNA from 1 species
AACGUUAUACGAUAUACCGUAAUAGUAUAUAACGUUAUACGUUAUAACGUAAUACUAUAUAACGUUAUACGUUAUAACGUAAUACUAUAUAACGUUAUACGUUAUACCGUAAUAGUAUAUAACGUUAUACGUUAUAACGUAAUACUAUAUAACGUUAUACGUUAUAACGUAGUACUAUAUAACGUUAUACGUUAUAACGUAAUACUAUAUACCGUCGU